rnacentral:rRNA from 1 species
GACGAACGCUGGCGGCGUGCCUAAUACAUGCAAGUAGAACGCAGUUGCGAACGGGUGAUUAACGCGUAGGUACCCUGCCUCAUAGCGGGGGAUAACUAUUGGAAACGAUAGCUAAUACCGCAUACUGUGAGAUGGACCUGCGUUGUAUUAGCUAGUUGGCGAGGUAAAGGGUCACCAAGGUGACGAUACAUAGCCGAGCUGAGAGGGGGAUCGGCCACACUGGGACUGGGAGACGGCCCAGAGUCCUACGGGAGGGAGCAGUAGGGAAUCGUCGGCAAUGGACGGAAGUCUGACCGAGCAACACCGCGUGAGUGAAGAAGGGUUUCGGGUCGUAAAGCUCUGUUGUUAGUGAAGCGGUAACUAACCAGAAAGGGACGGCUAACUACGUGCCAGCAGCCGCGGUAAUACC